rnacentral:hammerhead_ribozyme from 1 species
AUCCAGCUGACGAGUCCUAAAUAGGACGAAACGUGCGCCCUGGAU